ACGAAGGGGGCUAGCGUUGCUCGGAAUGACUGGGCGUAAAGGGCGCGUAGGCGGUUUGGUUAGUUAGGCGUGAAAUUCCUGGGCUUAACCUGGGGGCUGCGCUUAAUACAGCCAGGCUUGAGUGUGGAAGAGGGUCGUGGAAUUCCCAGUGUAGAGGUGAAAUUCGUAGAUAUUGGGAAGAACACCGGUGGCGAAGGCGGCGACCUGGUCCAUUACUGACGCUGAGGCGCGAAAGCGUGGGGAGCAAACAGGAUUAGAUACCCUGGUAGUCCACGCUGUAAACGAUGUGUGCUGGAUGUUGGGUGACCUAGUCACUCAGUGUCGUAGCUAACGCGAUAAGCACACCGCCUGGGGAGUACGGCCGCAAGGUUG
rnacentral:rRNA from 1 species